AUUACAAUUUUGGAAGAACUGCCAUUUGGGACAUCGGUGGCAAGACUGGUUGCAGUGGACAGAGAUAUAGGGGACAGAGUCUACUAUGAAUUUGUGGGCAGUUACAGAGGUUUUGCUAUUGAUUCUGAUACUGGUGAAAUUACAACCACCUAUCGUUUGGACUAUGAAGACCUCACUUUCCCCCAUGAAACUGCAUUGGAAAUCAGAGCCUUUGACAAUGAUAGGUUGCAUUCUUCCACCGUUCUGCUGAUUAUCACACUGCAGGAUGUAAAUGAUAAUCCUCCAUUUUGCACCCAAGACCUUUACAUCAUUGAAGUGCCUGAAACAAUUUCUGUUGGGACUCCCUUGGGCACCUUAGAGUGUGGAGAUAGAGAUGGAACACCUCCCAACAACGUUCUCACCUUCACACUGGAUGAUUAUUCCAAUAAAUUUUUCAUGCUAGCUGGCAAUGAAA